GCUCAGGAUGAACGCUAGCGGCAGGCUUAAUACAUGCAAGUCGUGGGGCAGCAUGAGUGUAGCAAUACAUUUGAUGGCGACCGGCAAACGGGUGCGGAACACGUACUGAACCUUCCUUUAAGUGGGGAAUAGCCCAGAGAAAUUUGGAUUAAUACCCCGUAAUAUAUAGAAGUGGCAUCACUUUUAUAUUAAAGCUCCGGCGCUUAAAGAUGGCAGUGCGGCUGAUUAGGUAGUUGGCGGGGUAACGGCCCACCAAGCCGACGAUCAGUAACUGGUGUGAGAGCACGACCAGUCACACGGGCACUGAGACACGGGCCCGACUCCUACGGGAGGCAGCAGUAAGGAAUAUUGGUCAAUGGACGCAAGUCUGAACCAGCCAUGCCGCGUGGAGGAUGAAGGUCCUCUGGAUUGUAAACUUCUUUUAUCUGGGAAGAAACCCAUCUUUUCUUGGAUGGUUGACGGUACCAGAUGAAUAAGCACCGGCUAACUCCGUGCCAGCAGCCGCGGUAAUACGGAGGGUGCAAGCGUUAUCCGGAUUCACUGGGUUUAAAGGGUGCGUAGGUGGGCAGGUAAGUCAGCGGUGAAAUCUCCGGGCUUAACCCGGAAACUGCCAUUGAUACUAUCUGUCUUGAAUACCCUGGAGGUGAGCGGAAUAUGUCAUGUAGCGGUGAAAUGCUUAGAUAUGACAUAGAACACCCAUUGCGAAGGCAGCUCACUACGGGAAUAUUGACACUGAGGCACGAAAGCGUGGGGAUCAAACAGGAUUAGAUACCCUGGUAGUCCACGCCCUAAACGAUGGAUACUCGACAUCAGCGAUAAACUGUUGGUGUCUGAGCGAAAGCAUUAAGUAUCCCACCUGGGAAGUACGAUCGCAAGAUUGAACUCAAAG
rnacentral:rRNA from 1 species